rnacentral:rRNA from 1 species
GAAACCAACAGGGAUUGCCUCAGUUACGGCGAGUGAAGCGGCAAAAGCUCAAAUUUGAAACCCUCGGGAUUGUAAUUUGAAGAUUUGGCAUUGGAGAAAGGUAAACCAACUUGCUUGGAAUAGUACGUCAUAGAGGGUGACAACCCCGUCUGGCUAACCGUUCUCCAUGUAUUGCCUUAUCAAAGAGUCGAGUUGUUUGGGAAUGCAGCUCAAAGUGGGUGGUAAACUCCAUCUAAAGUUAAAUACUGGUGAGAGGCCGAUAGCGAACAAGUACUGUGAAGGAAAGGUGAAAAGAACUUUGAAAAGAGAGUGAAAUAGUAUGUGAAAUUGUUGAUAGGGAAGGAAAUGAGUGGAGAGUGGCCGAGGUUUCAGCCCCCCCUCGUGGGCGGUGUGCUGCCGACCCGAGUCAUCGAUAGCGAGACGAGGGUUACAAAUGGG